rnacentral:rRNA from 1 species
AUUGAACGCUGGCGGCAGGCCUAACACAUGCAAGUCGAACGAGUGGCGGACGGGUGAGUAAUGUCUGGGAAACUGCCUGCUGGCUGGGGAUAAAUACUGGAAACGGUAGCUAAUACCUCAUACCAUCGGAUGUGCACAGAUGGGUUUAGCUAGUAGGUGGGGUAAAGGCUCACCUAGGAGACGAACCCUAGCUGGUCUGAGAGGCUGACCAGCAACACUGGAACUGAGAAACGGUCCAGACUCCAACGGGAGGAAGAAUUGGGAAAUAUGGGACAAUGGGCGAAAGCCUGAGGCAGCCAUGCCGCGUGUAGGAAGAAGGCCUUCGGGUUGUAAAGUACUUUCAGCAGGGAGGCGUUACCCGCAGAAAAAGCAACGGCUAACUCCGUGCCAGCAGCCGCGGUAAUAC